rnacentral:rRNA from 1 species
UACAGAGGUCUCAAGCGUUGUUCGGAUUCAUUGGGCGUAAAGGGUGUGUAGGUGGCGCGCUAAGUCGGGUGUGAAAUUUCGGAGCUUAACUCCGAAACUGCAUUCGAUACUGGCGUGCUUGAGGACUGGAGAGGAGACCGGAAUUCAUGGUGUAGCAGUGAAAUGCGUAGAGAUCAUGAGGAAGACCAGUGGCGAAGGCGGGUCUCUGGACAGUUCCUGACACUGAGACACGAAGGCCAGGGGAGCAAACGGG